ensembl:lncRNA
CCCGCUGAGUCGGUGAUGCUAUCUAACCAUCUCAUCCACUGUCACCUGCUUCACCUCCUGCCUUCAAUCUUUCCCAGCAUCAGGGUCUCUUCCAAUGAGUCGGCUCUUUACAUCAGGACUGGGCUGCAACCUUUUGCGAGAGGACAGGUGAAAAUAGCAGCAGCACUUGAGGAACAGCUCAGAAAUCUCUGCUUCUGAACCGUCCGAUUACGUGAUUGAGGGUUAGUGAUCUGAAGAAGGGCAGGCACUAGCUGUUGGUCAUCUGGUGCGUGUCCUGGGCUGGGUGCUCUCAGGGGGUCUCGCUCAGUCCUCGCCAGGACCCGGUGAAGCUGCUGUGUCGUCUUCUUCGUGUGCACCAGUGAUGGCGAGAGAACGGGCCAACAGCAGGGAUGUGACGGAUCCUGGCGCCCGUGCGUAGAAGGCCCGCUGCGUGCAUUUGCUGGUUGGCUCCCCACCUUGCCUGCCCCUGGCUCCAGCCCAACUCGGACAGUGAGGCGUGGACUUCUCCAAGAGCCAGCACGCUCCUGGCUGCAUCCUGGGGCUCGGAUGGGCAAGGUCAUGUUCUCCACAACUGCAGCCAGGCUAACGAUGGUAGCUUUGCACGACAGCAGCGUUCCUGGGCAUCUUUCGAGAUGCGGAUGGCCUGCAAGCAGCUGGGACAUGUUCUCCACUUGGAGGGACAUUUUUGGACCCACGUGCAUCACCCAAGGUUCUCAAUCUCUCUCUCAGUCUUUGACCUCGUCUGCAAAGUGAAGUCCACGUUCCAGGGACUAGGAGGCAGUCAUCACUGAGGGACCACGAUUUUGCCUUCUCAGAAGCGUUCAUUUGAUUUAGGUGUGCUGGGCGUUGAAGAGAUUUUCUUUAGCCACUUGAGCUUUUCCGUGAACAAAAAAAAAUCCUCGUAAAGCCUCCAGCCUUACACUUCAGAUAUUUCAGAGCUGCAGCUGUUGGCAUUUCUUGGAGGAUGCCUUUAUGUUUUAGUAAACUCUCAGAACAUUAUUACCCUCCCCCGAGCUUACACACGGCCCCAAUACCAUUAUUUUAUUUCUCACACUGCUUUUGGCCUCAGCGUCAUCAACUGCAAUGCGACUUACUUUUCCUUGUUGUAUAUGUUCUCUUUCUGUUAGGUCCUUGGGAGAGGGCCCAGAUGAUAAAAUUUUC